CGGGAAGCGGCUUUUCCGCCCGACGACCGGCCGGGCCGUCGUUUCACAGAGAUCGUUGAUCACAAAGGGUUUGGCUGGGUUGUGUUGAGUGGGCUUCAUUUGUUGGUUUGGGAUAAACAGGUAAUGUGCGGCCGGUCUGCACAAAACCCUUUCCCUGUGCCUGAGCGGUUAAUGUUAUUCCCUAACUAUUUCGGCAGGAUGUUAAAAUUCCGUAACUAUUUCUGCGAGAGACUGGAUGCGAUAAAGGCUGCUGAAGUAAAAUAAAGGCUUAUCCCUGUCGAUUAAAAGAAUAAAUGAAGCUUCACUUCUGCUUCUUGUCAAGGCGGAUUUUUAAAAUACUUCAGUUGUCUUCGUACUGCCUCAGUAUAAGGUUCUAAGCAAUGUUAAGUGUACUUGUGUGGCUCUGCAUACCCAGCCCUUUUUGGGAGGGUUAGCACACUGCCAGUUCAGCUCUCUGAAGUCACUUUGAUGGUGACAAGGCUGUUGCAAGAGGAGGGCAGCAUGGCUGAUGUGCCCGAGAGCAAGACAGCAGGGAGCGAGCAGGACUGUCCCUUUCAGGGGCAGGUAGGUAUGAGAUAGCCUCAUCUAUAACACAAAACCUGCCCUCAGAGAGUUGUUCGGGAUAAUGUACGCGUUGCUGUACUCAUGGGCGAUGAUUCAGGAGAGGUCUGAGUUGCUGCCUAUGUACCAGUUGUCUCCAGGCUGUUUCCAAGUUGGUCUCCUUUCUCCAGGUGAUCUCCAGUGCUUCCCAUGAGCUUCAGCCUCUGUUCUGCUUUCCUCCAUCCUUGUUCUUACCAUGGACUGAUUCACUGGCUCCUCUGUGACUUGGACUAUUUGAAGCCUGAGUGCUCACAGGAACCGUUGCUAAAUUCCUUUUGUAGAGGAUGCUUAAACAAGGGUCUUUCCUUGAUUGAGAUUAGUAAAGAGGAACAGAUUCGUGGAAGGUUGCCUUCUUCUGUAAACUCCUAG
rnacentral:lncRNA from 1 species